CAGAACUUGGUGGGGACCUGAAGGAGGCCAGAAAAGGAAAGAGGAAAAGGAGAAGACAGUGGACAUGAGUGAGCUCAAAGGGUGUCGGGGGCAGGGCCGGGCCCCCCUGGUGCUCCUGUUCCUCUCCCUCAUGGUCUUCGCUGGGCUCCUGGUGGCCAUCCUUGUCCAAGCCCGCCUGUGCCAGCCCCUCUCCUGGGGAUGCAAGCCCUUCCUGACCAGCUGCUGCUUCUUCCCGGAGGUGAAGAAGACCUGGCACCAGCCCAUAGAGGCUUUCGA
rnacentral:lncRNA from 1 species